CAAGCUAAAAUGAUACCUACACCCCCUAUUAUGCUAAAGGCACCUUAUUUUAGCCUAUCUUUGAUAUUUGGACCCCUAAAGUGAGGCCAAAUUAUUUACAAACAUAUUAUAUUUUUUUAAGAAGACCAAAAGGAAGAACUUCUGAUAUUCAGGUUUAUAACUUCUUUUUCUUUUGUUGAUUCUUUCUCGAGUCUUGGUGGGGCUUGGCUUUGUAUCUUGAGAUGACUGACCCUUUUGGGAAGUGCUUGUUGUGUCCUUAGUUAUUUGUCGGUUUGUAUCAUAGGUUUUCUUCUUUUCCACAUUUAUGAAAUUGUUGCCUAGUUUUUGCAAUUUUAUUCUGAGUUCAUAUUACAUUGAAAAAAUUUGAAAAACAAAAUACACAAGUACUUGUUAUUUGUAUCUAGUUAAAAAGGCACGUCAAAAAACAAAAUACAAAAAAAAAAAGAUAUAAACAAGAAAAACAAAGAUGUUUUGUGUUGCAGUGAAAGAGUGGUCCUCAAGUUAAAUCUUCCUACCGCACCCCAUCCCAAACCUUAUCAGUUACAAUGCAUAAAUGAGGACAGUGGUAUUGUUGUGAGUAGCCAAGCAAAUAUUCCAAUAACCAUAAGAUCUUAUAAAGAAACCAUUUUGUGUGACAUUUGGCUACCAAAUUUAGAAUCUAAAUAAUUGGUAGUUAAAACCUUGGUAGCUAAUUAGAUAUCAAUUUAGAAACUAUUUAACAAUUAUAGAAACUAAUUUAGAAACCAAUUUUUUUUUUUAGUUUCUAAAAUGGUCUCUGAUUUAGUCACUAUAGCAACUAAUUAUUUUUUGUUUCUAAAAUUAGUUUCUAUUUCAUGAUUUUCUUGUAAUGUGGAUAGUUGUAACUUUAACACUUUGUUUAUUAAAAUGUUGAAACACAACAUAGAUGCCCCUUUUCCAAAUGAUGGGGAUUUAGUUGGAAGUCAACAAGUGAAAGUUAAGUCUUCUUUAAGACACUAUGCUAAAAAAGUUUUAAGUCACAUUGUGCUUGUAGAAGCUUGUGAUAUCUUAUUAGAACAACCUUGAAAUUUUAACCGUACCUUUGUUUAUCAUGAUUGUUUUAAUAAAAUUACUUUCACUCACAAAGAAAAUAAGUUUGUGGUUAGUUUUUCAACACUUUAAAAAGCAGUGGAAAACUGAUUAUAAACACAACUAAAUUUUGAAAAUCCUGUUUGGAGCUGAACCAAACAAGAAUAUAAAUUCCUUUGGAAAACCUUGUGAAAGAUUGCUUGAAAUAAAACAAUCAGACCAAAAGAUUAAGCAACUUAACAAGGUAGAAAAACAUUAGAGUAAUCAUACUCCUAUGGUCAAUCUUGUCUAUCUAACAGGUAAGAGGUACAAUGACCUUAGAAGCAAGGUCUUUUCUUCUACUUUAGUUUUUUUUUUUAACAAAUAUCAUGUGUUUAACUAUUUCAUUGUUUUUAUGGGUUAAUUUUUUUAAUCCUAUAGGAGGUUAAUCGCAAAGCACAACACUAAAGUGGCUAAAUGAAGCGGAUCUGAGGACAAAUCCUUUUAAAAGGGGGACCUUGAUGGAGGAUCAUCUUCACUUUCUAGCCACCAUACACUCAGAUAAAGCAGAAGAUCAACCACAUAAAUAUUUGCCUUUGUUUGUAUAAAUUUGUAAAUAAUUGAUUAGUCUUUCUUUGAGCUUUGUAUUUCUAAGCCAAAUUUUAGAAUAGGUUGAAAAUAAUUCCAAGACACACUAGAAACCUUCACUUAGCAUUUAAGCAAAGGUUUCCAAUAGUUCAUCAUCUACUCCAUCAUCCAUGAUAGACUGAACAUAUUCUCGAGAUUCAGACAAACUUGGUAAAUGUAAUAAUUCACCAUGCCUUGUUAAUCUCCUUUAUGGAACAUUUUGAUAUCCA
rnacentral:lncRNA from 1 species